rnacentral:lncRNA from 1 species
AAAUACCAGGUUCUAAGGAGAGAAGAGGGAGCCAUCGGCUGUCCGUGGAAUAGGAAUCACCCCGUAUACCCACUCAACAGGUCUCCCUUUCCCCCGGUCGCGGUGGCCGGGGUCUGGGCGUCCCCGCUGCGGGCCACAGCGCCCCCACGGGGCACUCCGGGGCGGCUGCGGUGCGGCUUGUCCUGCGCAGGGAGCGCGCCCAGCUCUCCCGGCCGGGGUGGCGGGACUUCUCCCGCUGAGGGGUCGGGCAGCGCCUCCCUCCCUCUCCCGCUGUCCUCGGAGGGGUCGAAAGCGCCGGGGCCCCGGGGCGCUGGGGGCCGCAGUGCGGGCCUGGGGAGGGCGCCUGCGCGUCGGGCAGCCAGAGCUCGGUUUGUCUGUCGGUGGGUCGGUCCGCCUGCACCUCGGGGCCGCCCGGCCGCGCAGAGCCGGGGGAAAGCGCGCCGCGCUCACCUGCAGCCGCCGGCGCCUGGGAAGCGAGGCAGGAGCGCAGUCACCCGGGUCUUUCUCGUUGGCCUCUUAGCCUCGCCGAGGGCCGCUGCUCUCCUCGGGAAUCGCUCGUGGGAGGCGAGGACGGAGCCCCAGCCUCUGCCUCUAUCUCCGCCGCCGCCGCCGCCUGCUCCAAGUCCCAUCCCAGAGCGCUCCCCUCGCUCUCUGGCUGCCUGGGAGGCGCUGGGCAAGGGCGGGCGGCUGGGGAGGCGGUGCCGCGGCGAGGGUGGGGAGCUGGCCGGGCGGAAGGAGGGGUGUCCUCUUUGGGGAUGGGGAAGGCGCGGAGAGGGAGCGGCGGCGAGGGCGGCCCUACCCUGCGGGCAGCCCCGGGAGCUGGGCACUCUGGCGGCGCGCCCUGCUUGCUGCCACCUGGCUCCUCUCUGUCCGUGCCUGAGCCCAGGCGGGCAUCGGACUCCAGGGGUCGGGAGCCCCAGGCUCAGAAUACAGGCAGCUUUAGGGGCCUGUCGGGUGGGAGUUCGGGGAGGGGUCUUCCGGGGGAAAGGAGACAUGGCAGGAAUCUUAUAUCUAGAACUUGGGGUCAUGAUCUGCGGGAUGCACCCACUGAUGACGGGGAUGGAGAAAAAAGUGGUGAGAAUUGGGCUAAUUGAUGACAAGCGCCAACAGCUGUCUUGCCGGUGCCCAGAGCACCCCACCAGUGCCAGUUCAUAUUAA